rnacentral:rRNA from 1 species
UGGGGGAUAUUGCACAAUGGGCGAAAGCCUGAUGCAGCGACGCCGCGUGGGGGAUGAAGGCUUUCGGGUUGUAAACCUCUUUCGCUAUCGAACAAGGCCCGCUUAGGGUGGGUUGAGGGUAGGUGGAGAAGAAGCGCCGGCUAACUACGUGCCAGCAGCCGCGGUAAUACGUAGGGCGCGAGCGUUGUCCGGAAUUAUUGGGCGUAAAGGGCUUGUAGGCGGCUUGUUGCGCCUGCUGUGAAAACGCGGGGCUUAACUUCGCGCGUGCAGUGGGUACGGGCAGGCUUGAGUGUGGUAGGGGGGACUGGAAUUCCAGGUGUAGCGGUGGAGUGCGCAGAUAUCUGGAGGAACACCGAUGGCGAAGGCAGGUCACUGGGCCAUUACUGACGCUGAGGAGCGAAAGCAUGGGUAGCGAACAGG